CCGCACGCGCGCUACACUGACAGAGCCAACGAGUUUCUUCCUUGUCCGAAAGGUCUGGGUAAUCUUGUUAAACUCUGUCGUGCUGGGGAUAGAGCAUUGCAAUUAUUGCUCUUCAACGAGGAAUUCCUAGUAAGUCAUCAGCUUGCGCUGAUUACGU
rnacentral:rRNA from 1 species